rnacentral:rRNA from 1 species
UGUCCUGCUCAGACGNACGUGACGGUGUACUUAAUACAUGCAAGUCGAACGUGCAAUGCAGAAGUGGCAACACUUUUGCAAAGCAAGUGGCGAACGGGUGAGUAACGCGUGGGUAAUCUGCCUUGGAGAUUGGGAUAACCUUUCGAAAGAAAGGCUAAUACCAAAUAUUCUAUAUCUUUGUAUGGAGAUAUAGGAAAGGUAGCCGCAAGGCUUCUGCUCUGAGAUGAGCCCGCGUCCUAUUAGCUAGUUGGUAAGGUAAUGGCUUACCAAGGCUUUGAUGGGUAGCCGGCCUGAGAGGGUGAUCGGCCACACUGGGACUGAGAUACGGCCCAGACUCCUACGGGAGGCAGCAGUAGGGAAUAUUGCGCAAUGGGCGAAAGCCUGACGCAGUGACACCGUGUGAAGGAUGAAGGUCUUCGGAUUGUAAACUUCUGUCAAUUGAGGACGAAGGUGGUAGAGUUAAUAGCUCAAACACUGACGGUACUUAAUAAGGAAGUCUCGGCUAACUCCGUGCCAGCAGCCGCGGUAAUACGGGGGAGGCAAGCGUUGUCCGGAAUUAUUGGGCGUAAAGAAUGCGUAGGCGGUUUUUUAAGUCGUAUGUGAAAACUUCAGGCUCAACCUGAAGGUUGCAUGCGAAACUGGGAAACUUGAGUACAGUAGGGGAAAGUGGAAUUCCUGGUGUAGCGGUGAAAUGCGCAGAUAUCAGGAAGAACACCGAUAGCGAAGGCAGCUUUCUGGGCUGUUACUGACGCUGAGGCACGAAAGCUAGGGGAGCGAACAGGAUUAGAUACCCUGGUAGUCCUAGCUGUAAACGAUGGACACUAGGUGUGGGAAGUUAUCGACGCUUUCCGUGCCGGAGUUAACGCAUUAAGUGUCCCGCCUGGGGAGUACGGUCGCAAGACUAAAACUCAAAGGAAUUGACGGGGGCCCGCACAAGCGGCGGAGCAUGUGGCUUAAUUCGACGCAACGCGAAAAACUUUACAAGGCUUGACAUCGUAUUGA